rnacentral:rRNA from 1 species
CGAAAGCCUGACGGAGCAAUACCGCGUGAGGGAGGAAGGUCUUUGGAUUGUAAACCUCUUUUAUUAGGGAAGAAAAAAAUGACGGUACCUAAUGAAUAAGCAUCGGCUAACUCCGUGCCAGCAGCCGCGGUAAUACGGAGGAUGCGAGCGUUAUCCGGAAUUAUUGGGCGUAAAGCGUCCGUAGGUGGUUAUGCAAGUCUGCCGUUAAAGAAUGGAGCUUAACUCCAUAGGAGCGGUGGAAACUGCAAGACUAGAGUACAGUAGGGGUAGCAGGAAUUCCCAGUGUAGCGGUGAAAUGCGUAGAUAUUGGGAAGAACAUCGGUGGCGAAAGCGUGCUACUGGGCUGAAACUGACACUGAGGGACGAAAGCUAGGGUAGC